UGUGUCGAUACAACAAAAUUAAGUGAAUGUAUACAACCUAUCGUAGUCGUAUCGAUCAAGAUUAUAAGCACUGCUACAACUAUUAAAGAGAAUGCAUACAGGUGAUACAAACUAGUAAUGAAUGAUUAAAGUAGAACGAAUAAAUACAAGUGAAAUUAGAGUGAUUGAAUACAAGCGAUACACGCUCGUAACAAUUGAUACAAGUGAUUGUAU
rnacentral:lncRNA from 1 species